rnacentral:rRNA from 1 species
UACGUAGGAGGUAAGCGUUGUCCGGAAUUACUGGGCGUAAAGCGCGUGUAGGCGGUCUGAAUAGUCUGCUGUGAAAGCGCCUGGCUUAACCGGGCGAGGUCGGCGGAAACUCUCAGACUGGAGGCCGGUAGAGGGGGGUGGAAUUCCCGGUGUAGUGGUGAAAUGCGUAGAGAUCGGGAGGAACACCUGUGGCGAAGGCGGCCCCCUGGGCCGCGCCUGACGCUGAGACGCGAAGGCUAGGGGAGCGAACGGG